GUGCUCGUUUCGGCAGCACAUAUACUAAAAUUGGAACGAUACAGAGAAAAUUAGCAUGGUCCCUGCACAAGGAUGACACGCAAAUUCGUGAAGCAUUCCAUAUUUUU
rnacentral:snRNA from 1 species